UUGCAGCUGACAGCCUGGUCGCCCUCCUGGUGGCACCUCCAGCCCUCUCCCAGCACCAUGCCUACAUCUCAUGUUCACCAACUUCUGCGAGUCACCUCUGCCUGACCCAAACACAGAACCCUGUGUUUUUGGAGGCUGUCAUGCAAAUUGAAAUUAGAGCAAAACCAAACCAAACUAUGUCAAAAAAGACCAUGCACAUCCAUCUGCUCCAUCUCUAGAUGCUCCUCUUGUAACCCAGCCUGUGAGCCGUGAAGAGCCCAAGCCACAUGGAGAGGUCACGGAUUUUUCCUCCUGGCCCAAUCAUGGACUUGGGAGCUGGAUAAACACGUACGGAUGCCCUCUGUGGCCUCGUGGCUUUGAUCGCCUCCCCAGUGCGGCCUUCAUCUCUGUGGACUGAGAGUCUUAAUGUUCUCAGUUUGACCUUGUGGGUUGGCCCACGUAUUCCAUCAAGCCUUUCGUGCGCCCUUCACUGGCCUUUCUAAGAAUCAUAUUUCUUUGUUAAGUGGUACUAACCACACACACCACGCCAGAGCCGGUGACCCAGCCCUUUUCUUCCCCUCUCUCGUGGGCUAUUUGAUUAAGCAUGCUUAUAUGUUUUUAGUGGGUGGGGGCAAACAGGAAGGGAGAACUAUUUCAAAGAUCAUGUCAGAACACAGUUUGGAAAUAUUUGGUCGCCCAAACGAUGCCAGGGGAAAUGACUCCCUGGACUCCUUUAACUAUCUAUUCAAACUUGAACGGCACGAUUUCCAAAGCAUGUGGGAG